CGCGUAGGUGGCCCAGUAAGUCCGUUGUGAAAGUCAAAGGCUCAACCUUUGAAAGCCGAUGGAUACUGCUGGGCUAGAGUCCGGAAGAGGCGAGUGGAAUUCCUGGUGUAGCGGUGGAAUGCGCAGAUAUCAGGAGGAACACCAAUAGCGAAGGCAGCUCGCUGGGACGGAACUGACACUAAGGCGCGAAAGCGUGGGAGCGAACA
rnacentral:rRNA from 1 species